UCAAAUAGAACUUAAAUGAAAGAGAUAUAUUCCUGUGAAACUUUUUGAAGUGAGCUGAACUAUAUGUUCUAAUGGAAGACUUCCAUAGGAAAUUUCUCAACAAGGACUAAUAGAGGAGCACAAGUCACAUAUUUCAGUAUAGCCCCUCAUAUACACAUUUAAAUCAGAGAAACUGUGACUUAUUUUUAAUCAGGGGAAAG
rnacentral:lncRNA from 1 species